rnacentral:misc_RNA from 1 species
ACUGUUACACUAAUUAAGUAAUAAGUUUUUUGAGUCAAAGUAUCAGUUUUAUCUAUGUUUUAUCUCUUUAAAAUUUUUUUACAAAUAAACAAAAAAGAGGUAACUCAAAAUGGCAGUAGGAACUGUAAAAUGGUUUAACGCAGAAAAAGGCUUUGGCUUUAUUUCACAAGAAAAUGGUCCAGAUGUAUUUGCACACUUCUCAGAAAUUCAAACUGAUGGCUUCAAAUCUCUUGACGAAGGUCAAAAAGUUGAAUUCGAAGUAACUGAAGGCAACCGUGGCCCACAAGCAAGCAACAUCGUAAAACUUUAAUAAGUAGAAUCACAAACUGAGGUUUGUGAUUUUUUU